rnacentral:lncRNA from 1 species
AGCCAUAUGAUGACACCAUCAAACUUGACCUCUUCCUGUCCCUGCAGGAGUCAGUUGAUGCAGAGUCCUGCCUGGCUCGGGCUCAGCCUUCGCCUGGGCCUUUGGUGGAUGAACCCUGGAGAGGGAAGAAUGGGCUUCUGGACCUGAAGAGUUCCAUGGCAGACACCUCCUUCUCAUAGCCACCAGUGAGCCCCUCCUCAGUCCCCUGGUGCACAGGCAGCUGGAUGUGACCGUGAAUAAGAGCCAUUGAUUAGUCUGUCACACGAAGACACUACCAGCAGCAUCCCAGCCAGCAGGGAAGAGGAACAGUUCUGCCGUCCCCAGAGCCCAAAGGAGCCCAGCAGAUCACAGACGUGGCCAGGGGUAUGCACUGGCUCAGGGGAGCUGUGUGGCCUCAAGGACGUUACCUCCCAUCUCUGAUCCUGUAAGAUGUGGUUAAAAACACCGAUGUCUCGGGGUCGUGUAGGGCUUAACAGGGUGAAGGACAGUGAAGAAUGGAGGUGCACUGCUGUGCUUGGCGGCCCACACCCAACUGCUCAGGAGGCUGAGGCAGGACAAAGCCUUAGAGGCCAGCGUCUUGAAGCAGCACAAUGAGAUUCCUCCAGUCUGUCUCAAAUACAUAAAUAGAUGAAUAAAAUGUAAAAUGACCAGCUGCUGGGAGAGGGAAGUGACUGAAGCAUCUCAAGGGCUUCUGGCAGAGGACCUAAGGCAUGAACUACAUCAAGGGUUCUGCCAUUUCCCUGAAGAGCCUCCCUUGGCAAGACGUGAGGACUCACAACAUUGUCCCAGCUCACUUCAGAGAUGCCCGCAGACAACUACCUCAGCAACACGAUUAGCCUCCAGGAUUCUGAAUGGGUUGCUCACCCACCGACUGAUGCAUGCUCAGACCCU